CUUUGAAAUUCAUCGCAUCUGGGAAAGAUAAAGACACAUUUCAGUCAAGAGUCAAGAGAAAGAUUGUUGAUGAACAGAAAAGAGCAGAUUUGUGUGCAUUUGUGACCACAAACAUCACUAAAGGAGAAGAAAUGAUGUUCGACUGUGGAGAUCCUGACAUCUCAUGGAGACAGGUAGCAGGAUGCUUGGUCCAUUACAUCCUGACGGAUGGACAACACCCUCAUCAGACCACUACACCCUCCACCCAGGAUCCACUUGGUCUGUCUCUACAUGUCAGAACGAGUAACUUCAGUCUUCAAUGGGAUGAAAGACUAAACAUAUCUUAAGCAGAAUGAUGAGCAAAUCAGUGGAAGAGCAUCCUACUAUUGAGGAAUGCCUUCAGGAAGUCAAAACUAUGUGCAAAGACUUAUUGUAGAGUUUACAAUAAGCAUUAAAAUGAUUGGAUAUAAAAACUGGUGUGAAUUUACAGGUUUGAUCACCAGUCUUAUCAAAUAUCAACCACAAACAGCUACAGCUCAGGAAAGUCUUCAGUCUUCAGUCUUGGAUACAUCAGUAAAUCACUAGUGCCAUUAAAUCAAAAUGGUAUGUUCCAUUCACCAUAAACAAUACACAAGAUCUAAAGAUCAUUGUCUUUUCAUGUUUUCAACUUUGUAAAGUAUGUAUUACUGACAUUACAUUUUUUUAA